UUUCCGUAGGUGAACCUGCGGAAGGAUCAUUAACAAAAAUUUUUUUUUCUAUUUUUAGAAAAAAAAAUUUAACAAAAAAACCACUUGCGAACUUAUGAAUAUUUUUUUUAUUUCAUAAAAAAAAACCCCUUUAUAAAAAAAAAUCAAAAUGAAAAAAAACAUAUAAAUUUAAAAAAAAACAAAACUCUCAACAACGGAUGUCUUGGCUCUC
rnacentral:misc_RNA from 1 species